CCAGCAUCUGGUGAGGGCCUUCAUGCUGUGUCAUCCCAUGGCCAAAGAUGGAAGGGCAAGAGGGCACAAGACAGAAAGGGUCAACCAGGAAGUAAAGGAUUGGAAGAGACAAAUAUGCCCAGUCAUCAGUAGAUGAAAGUGAAACACAGAGAGGUUGUUCUUUGCCCAAGAAGCACACAGCACAGCAGGGAGGGAGAGUGCCUGGACCUGAAUCCAGCUUCAACACAUUUCAGGGUCCACGAAGCCAGCCUCCAGGAGACCCCACGUGCACAGUGCUUGGUCUGGUCCCACCCCCAAGCCCUUUGUCAUCACCCAGAAAACUCCCUCCUCCCUGUAUCUGGUACUAAGAGAGUUGGGAGGGGCCUCCAAAGUCCCCAGCAUGGCCUACCCCCUUCCUUGCAUUAAUAUUACAGUUGAGGUAACCGAGUCAAGAUGGGGAAACGCCUCAGCAUGGAUUGAGCACCUACCAGACACACCAGCCUCUUGGCAUCCAUUGUCUAUUUAAUGCUCAC
rnacentral:lncRNA from 1 species